AUUUGUAUUGGGUUCUUUGGCGGUGCCGUACGGGGUGAACGGUGGUCGCAUUGCGAAUGGACUUUUCCAGCAAGAAGGCGUGCUUCGUCGAGAUGUGUAUUGGGCCAGGGUGUUAAGUAAGCGUACCACAAAGAGUUAUGGAUUAGUUUUAAUGCAGAUACCUUACGGCUAAGCAGGAUUAGUAAGCUCUCGGUGUAGCUGCAGCAGACCCUAAGGACGACACUAAUAGUGGAAAGCAACGCCUUAUGUUAAGAGUGAAUUUAGUUACCCAGACAACUAGUACUAAACUUUUUGACUCCGACGCUGUGCAUAUCCUAUCAGGAUUCGAAGAGCUAAAUUCGGUUACCCAGACAGCUAGGACUUAAUUGUAGACGCUAUUCACAACCUAAUAGUCAUAAGUUUAAUCUGACUACUAAUGCAAUGUAAUAGUAUUUAAGGGUAUGAAAACUAACUUAAUUCAUAUAAUCUGUAAACCUUUGUAGGUUUCUUUAACCCAAAAUGUCAUAUGAUGGGGGUAGACUUUGUCAUGUGAAAUCGAUGGAAUGGUGUUACUGGUUGAGUAACAGAAGCAAGAUUGGGAAAUUCAUAUAAGAAAUUAGUAACUGACAUAAAGGUUUGAGGUGUCAGGUUCUGGUUUAAUGGCCAUAUUUCCUAUGCAAUCAAAGGAAUGGAAGUUACUCUGGUUAACAGAAGAUGAGGGUAAUUUUAUAAAAGUAACUAAAAGGAAUUUCUUAUUCUUAAGGAGUUUUCGGAUAGUAUCGUAUUUUGGCUUUUCUUGCAAUAGUUUAUGCAGGCUAGUUUAUGCAGGUCUAGUUUAUGCAGGUCUAACUUCUUAUUCAACUAAGUGAUAAGAUUGUAUUUUGACCCCUCCUGAUGACUGGAAUCUGUUUAAAACUUAUGGUCUGGAAAUUGCAUUGGGCUGAAACACAAAGGUGACUGUGAUAAUGGUUGGAAGUGAAAAUUCAUUUUUACAUUAAAGAAAAUGAGGAUAAUA